rnacentral:rRNA from 1 species
GUCCGCCAGAGAAUUACAAGCAAACGCUCAAAACCCAAAGGACUUGACGGUGUCCCAUAUCAACCUAGAGGAGCCUGUCCUUUAACCGAUACUCCACGCUAAACCUCACCCGCCCUUGCACCCACAGCCUAUAUACCGCCGUCACAAGCCCGCCUUAUGACAGAUCAAGUAAAGCCGACAAAAAAGUUGCCCACAAGUACGUCAGGUCAAGGUGUAGCUAAUGGGCCGGGCUAGAGAUGGGCUACAUUUCUUACUUUCAGGAACAACCGACCACAAUAUGAAACAUGUGCCAAAAGACGGAUUUAGCAGUAAGCGUAGACAAGAUAUGCUACCCUGAA